rnacentral:lncRNA from 1 species
UUUGGGUGUCAGUCGUGGCACUCUUCAGGGUUACUACCCAGGAGCUGCUGUCAUGGGACAGAGUGCAGGAGCAUUUUUCUUCCUACUCACGCCAUUAUAAGAGGGUGUGUUUGUUAGCUGAGAUAACAGAAUAAAGACUCUGCUCACACCUCUUACCCAUCUGCUGAGAGAUGAGUGCAAUGUUGAAUUUAUUUGAACAAACCAAAGAUUCUUCUGGCACUGCUCUGAUCCCUGGAGUGUUUAUGGCCACAGGAAGGACAGCAGUGACCGAGCAACACCAGCUUUUGUCAGCCUGGUGCUCUCCACUGGCGACCUGCAGCCACCAGAAGGUGCAAGGAAAAUAAUCACUCAUAAUCAAUAAUUAAAUCAAUUAUUAAUCAAUUAAAC